GUGGGAGGAGCUUAUAUUAAAAAUAAUAUAGCUCUUUUCAUGGACCAAUGUAUAAAUUUUUAUAUAAGGUCUUAAAAUAAAUAAAAAUUUGCCCUUUUUUUUAAAAUAAAAACAAAACACUGUUUUAAAUUAUUUAAAUAACUUAAAACAGGCCUGGAUCCGGGUCGGAUUUUACCCGGAUCCGAUCCGGAUCCGGCUAAGGGAGAUGCCAUCGCAUAUGCGCGUGCACCCAGAACCUUGAUUUUUACAGGAUAUUACUAAGAUACCCUAGCACUUAAAGCUCCCAAAGAGAAAAAGCUCUUUCUGAAAAGUGGAAGUGCAUUUUGCUAUUUUGAACUAUGAUUGCAGUAUUGCACUAGUUGAAUGUAAGGCUAAUUAUACAAUCCUUUGGAAAAAUGGAAACCCAAUUUGGAAACUUGCAGUAAUAUAUGAGGAGAUCAAGGAUAAAAGUCAUAAGGAUAGCCUAGCUGAAGGAAUAUGGGCUCAUAACCCAAAAAGUUUUCCAUACUCCUAUGGAGGAUAAAGUGGGGACACCUAAACACUUUAUCAAACUAAAUGGAUAGGGUAUGCCAAUCCAGCCCACGGCCCACCUGUUUGUUAUGCAAUAUAGAGAAUGAAUCCAGAGACCACCUAUUUUUCAAUUGUUCCUACUCCAGAGACCCCUGGUUGAAAAUAUAAACAACAUUUUAUGGAAGAUACUAAAAAUACC
rnacentral:lncRNA from 1 species